CACGGGCCGGACGGGUGACCGGCUUAACCCGCUAGUUGGGCAACCACGUAGCUGCCUAACCAGCCACGUGGCUAACCAGACAACUGGCUUACUGGGUUUCCAGCUAAUAAUAAUAAUCAGAUACCCGGCUAACCAGAUAACCAUCUUACCAGCUUAAUGGCUAUCCAGCUAAUAAUAACAACCAGAUAGAUGGAUAACCGUUUUACUGGCUAUCCAGCUAACGAGCUUACUGGCUAGCCAGAUAAGCUAACAAGAUAGACAACCAGAUAACUGGCUUACUGGCUAUCCAGCUAACCAGAUAAGACAACCAGAUAACCAGUUUACUGUCUAUCCAGCUAACCAGAUGAGACAACCAGAUAACCAGUUUCCUGGCUAUCCAGCUAACCAGAUAAGAACAACCAGAUAACCAGCUUACUGGCUAUCCAGCUAACCAGAUAACCGGCUUACUGGCUAUCCAGCUAACCAGCUUACUGGCUAUCCAGCUAACCCCAUAAGACACAGAUAACCAGCUUACUGGCUAUCCAGCUAACCAGAUAAGACAACCAGAUAACCGGUUUACUGGCUAUCCAGCUAGCCAGAUAAGACAACCAGAUAACCAGCUUACUGGCUAUCCAGCUUACUGGCUAUCCAGCUAACCCGAUAAGACACAACCAGAUAACCGGCUUACUGGCUAUCCAGCUAACCAGAUAAGACACAACCAGAUAACCAGCUUACUGGCUAUCCAGCUAACCAGAUAAGACACAACCAGAUAACCGGCUUACUGGCUAUCCAGUUAACCAGAUAAGACACAACCAGAUAACCGGCUUACUGGCUAUCCAGCUAACCAGAUAAGACAACCAGAUAACCGGCUUACUGGCUAUCCAGCUAACCAGAUAAGACACAACCAGAUAACCAGCUUACUGGCUAUCCAGCUAACCAGAUAAGACAACCAGAUAACCGGCUUACUGGCUAUCCAGCUAACCAGGUAACCGGCUUACUGGCUAUCCAGCUAACCAGAUAACCGGUUUACUGCCUAUCCAGCUAACCAGAUAAGACACAACCAGAUAACCGGCUUACUUGCUAUCCAGCUAACCAGAUAAGACACAACCAGAUAACCGGCUUACUUGCUAUCCAGCUAACCAGAUAAUACAACCAGAUAACUAGCGUACUGGCUAUCCAGCUAACCAGAUAAGACACAACCAGAUAACCGGCUUACUGGCUGUCCAGCUAACCAGAUAAGACGCAACCAGAUAAGCGGCUUACUGGCUAUCCAGCUAACCAGAUAAGACGCAACCAGAUAACUGGCUUACUGGCUAUCCAGCUAACCAGAUAAGACACAACCAGAUAACCGGCUUACUGGCUAUCCAGCUAACCAGAUAAGACAACCAGAUAACCGGCUUACUGGCUAUCCAGCUAACCUGACGAGACACAACCAGAUAACCGGCUUACUGGCUAUCCAGCUAACAGGACAAGACACAACCAGAUAACCAGCUUACUGUCUAUCCAGCUAACCAGAUGAGACAACCAGAUAACUGGUUUACUAGCUAUCCAGCUAACCAGAUAAGACAGCCAGAUAACCAGUUUACUGUCUAUCCAGCUAACCAGAUGAGACAACCAGAUAACCGGUUUACUGGCUAUUCAGCUAACCAGGUAAGACAACCAGAUAACCAGCUUACUGGUUAUCCAGCUAACCAGAUAAGACAACCAGAUAACCGGCUUACUGGCUAUCAAGCUAAGACACAACCAGAUAACCAGCUUACUGGCUAUCCAGCUAACCAGAUAACCGGCUUACUGGCUAUCCAGCUAACCAGAUAAGACACAACCAGAUAACCGGCUUACUGGCUAUCCAGCUAACCAGAUAAGACAACCAGAUAACCGGUUUACUGGCUAUCCAGCUAACCUGACGAGACACAACCAGAUAACCGGCUUACUGGCUAUCCAGCUAACCGGACAAGACACACCCAGAUAACCGGCUUACUGGCUAUCCAGCUAACCAGAUAAGACACCCAGAUAACCGGCUUACUGGCUAUCCAGCUAACCAGAUAAGACACCACCAGAUAAUCGGCUUACUGGCUAUCCAGUUAACCACAUAAGACGCAACCAGAUAACCGGCUUACUGGCUAUCUAGCUAACCAGAUAAGACACAACCAGAUAACCGGCUUACUGGCUAUCCAGCUAACCAGAUAAGACAACCAGAUAACCGGCUUACUGGCUAUCCAGCUAACCUGACGAGACACAACCAGAUAACCAGCUUACUGGCUAUCCAGCUAACCGGACAAGACACAACCAGAUAACCAGCUUACUGUCUAUCUAGCUAACCAGAUGAGACAACCAGAUAACUGGUUUACUAGCUAUCCAGCUAACCAGAUAAGACAACCAGAUAACCAGUUUACUGUCUAUCCAGCUAACCAGAUGAGACAACCAGAUAACCGGUUUACUGGCUAUUCAGCUAACCAGGUAAGACAACCAGAUAACCAGCUUACUGGCUAUCCAGCUAACCAGAUAAGACAACCAGAUAACCGGCUUACUGGCUAUCAAGCUAAGACACAACCAGAUAACCAGCUUACUGGCUAUCCAGCUAACCAGAUAACCGGCUUACUGGCUAUCCAGCUAACCAGAUAAGACACAACCAGAUAACCGGCUUACUGGCUAUCCAGCUAACCAGAUAAGACACAACCAGAUAACCGGUUUACUGGCUAUCCAGCUAACCUGACGAGACACAACCAGAUAACCGGCUUACUGGCUAUCCAGCGAACCGGACAAGACACAACAAGAUAACCAGCUUACUGUCUAUCCAGCAAACCAGAUGAGACAACCAGAUAACUGGUUUACUAGCUAUCCAGCUAACCAGAUAAGACAACCAGAUAACCAGUUUACUGUCUAUCCAGCUAACCAGAUGAGACAACCAGAUAACCGUUUUACUGGCUAUUCAGCUAACCAGGUAAGACAACCAGAUAACCAGCUUACUGGCUAUCCAGCUAACCAGAUAAGACAACCAGAUAACCGGCUUACUGGCUAUCCAGCUAACCUGACGAGACACAACCAGAUAACCAGCUUACUGGCUAUCCAGCUAACCGGACAAGACACAACCAGAUAACCAGCUUACUGUCUAUCCAGCUAACCAGAUGAGACAACCAGAUAACUGGUUUACUAGCUAUCCAGCUAACCAGAUAAGACAACCAGAUAACCAGUUUACUGUCUAUCCAGCUAACCAGAUGAGACAACCAGAUAACCGGUUUACUGGCUAUUCAGCUAACCAGGUAAGACAACCAGAUAACCAGCUUACUGGCUAUCCAGCUAACCAGAUAAGACAACCAGAUAACCGGCUUACUGGCUAUCAAGCUAAGACACAACCAGAUAACCAGCUUACUGGCUAUCCAGCUAACCAGAUAACCGGCUUACUGGCUAUCCAGCUAACCUGACGAGACACAACCAGAUAACCGGCUUACUGGCUAUCCAGCGAACCGGACAAGACACAACCAGAUAACCAGCUUACUGUCUAUCCAGCUAACCAGAUGAGACAACCAGAUAACCGGUUUACUGGCUAUUCAGCUAACCAGAUAAGACAACCAGAUAACCGGCUUACUGGCUAUCAAGCUAAGACACAACCAGAUAACCAGCUUACUGGCUAUCCAGCUAACCAGAUAACCGGCUUACUGGCUAUCCAGCUAACCAGAUAAGACACAACCAGAUAACCGGCUUACUGGCUAUCCAGCUAACCAGAUAAGACACAACCAGAUAACCGGCUUACUGGCUAUCCAGCUAACCAGAUAAGACAACCAGAUAACCGGUUUACUGGCUAUCCAGCUAACCUGACGAGACAACCAGAUAACCGGCUUACUGGCUAUCCAGCGAACCGGACAAGACACAACCAGAUAACCAGCUUACUGUCUAUCCAGCUAACCAGAUGAGACAACCAGAUAACUGGUUUACUAGCUAUCCAGCUAACCAGAUAAGACAACCAGAUAACCAGUUUACUGUCUAUCCAGCUAACCAGAUGAGACAACCAGAUAACCGGUUUACUGGCUAUUCAGCUAACCAGAUAAGACAACCAGAUAACCGGCUUACUGGCUAUCAAGCUAAGACACAACCAGAUAACCAGCUUACUGGCUAUCCAGCUAACCAGAUAACCGGCUUACUGGCUAUCCAGCUAACCAGAUAAGACACAACCAGAUAACCGGCUUACUGGCUAUCCAGCUAAGACACAACCAGAUAACCGGUUUACUGGCUAUCCAGCUUACCAGAUAAGACAACCAGA